rnacentral:lncRNA from 1 species
CCGGACCCCACGCCGCGGGAGCUUGGGGGUUGCGGUCUUCUCUUCCUCCGACCUCACCUUCGAUGCGGAAGCGCAGGGGCAGCCCCUACCCUCGUGACUACAAGGGAAAACGUGCGGUGCUCACGAGAGAGCCUUUAUGGGAUUUUUAAAAAAUGGGGAUUGUGGGAAAAUGGCUCCAGCAGUCACAGUUUUUCAGUUUCUCACAAUCCCAUAAAAACAGAGCAACCAGGUAACAAAACUAAAGCAUGGGCAACAUUUACAGACCACUGGAUGGUGAAGAAUUCCCAUGAACCCCUGGUUCACACUGUAAGGACACACUACUCAGCAUGGGCAACAUUUACAGACUACUGGAUGGUGAAGAAUUCCCAUGAACCCCUGGUUCACACUGUAAGGACAGACUACUCAGCAUGGGCAACAUUUACAGACCACUGGAUGAUGAAGAAUUCCCAUGAACUCCUGGUUCCAACUGUAAGGACACACUACUCAGCUGUAGCCUGAAGCCGCCUCCUUACAUACUGUAAGUUUAGCCUAUAGGUUUCUCCAUACGUAGUGAACAGUCAUCUAAUUGGAUGUGUGGACACUGUAACCUACUCUUGAAUCAGUCACAGGCAGCAGCACUUCAAACUCUGUUUCAAUAAGCCAGACACGAGCUGUAGCCACCCUGCUGUUUGCAGGCCUCACCUCUGCCUUCUGUGCCUCACUCCCUUUUCUGUCCGUAAGUCUUUGGCCACACAGUGGCACUGGAGUCUCUCUGAG